rnacentral:tRNA from 1 species
GGGUCGGUGUCCGAGUGGUUAAAGGAGGCGGAUUGUAAAUCCGUUGCGUCAUGCUACGUUGGUUCGAAUCCAACCCGGCCCA